rnacentral:rRNA from 1 species
UACGUAGGUGGCGAGCGUUGUUCGGAAUUAUUGGGCGUAAAGGGUUCGUAGGAUGUUUCUUAAGAUUGGUGUGAAAUCCCAAGGCUCAACCUUGGAACUGCAUUGAUGACUGAGAGACUAGAGUAUCGUAGAGGAGAGCGGAAUUCCAGGUGUAGCGGUGGAAUGCGUAGAUAUCUGGAAGAACACCGACAGCGAAGGCAGCUCUCUGGGCGAAAACUGACUCUGAGGAACGAAAGCGUGGGUAGCAAACAGG